AGAGUGAACGCUGGCGGUAGGCCUAACACAUGCAAGUCGAACGGCAGCACAGUGGUAGCAAUACCAUGGGUGGCGAGUGGCGGACGGGUGAGGAAUACAUCGGAAUCUACCCUUUCGUGGGGGGAUAACGUAGGGAAACUUACGCUAAUACCGCAUACGCCCUUCGGGGGAAAGCCGGGGAUCGCAAGACCUGGCGCGGAUAGAUGAGCCGGAUGUCGGAUUAGCUAGUUGGUGAGGUAAUGGCUCACCAAGGCGACGAUCCGUAGCUGGUCUGAGAGGAUGAUCAGCCACACUGGAACUGAGACACGGUCCAGGACUCCUACGGGAGCAGCAGUGGGGAAUAUGGACAAUGGGCGCAAGCCUGAUCCAGCCAUACCGCGUGGGUGAAGAAGGCCUUCGGUUAGUAAGUCCCGUUUUAGGUUUAGGAAAGAAAGUACGAAUACGGUUAAGUAACCCGGUUGUUACUUAGACGGUACCCAAAG
rnacentral:rRNA from 1 species